rnacentral:rRNA from 1 species
GACGAACGCUGGCGGCGUGCUUAAAAACAUGCAAGUCGAACGGACUUCUCAUGAAGCUUGCGAUUGAGAAGUUAGUGGCGGACGGGUGAGUAACGCGUGGGCAACCUGCCCCUGAGCCCGGGAUAACAGUUCGAAAGGACUGCUAAGACCGGAUAUACUUGCGGUGAAGCAUUUCACUGCAAGGAAAGGGAACGCUCAGGGAUGGGCCCGCGUCCCAUUAGCUAGUUGGUGAGGUAACGGCCCACCAAGGCGACGAUGGGUAGCCGGCCUGAGAGGGUGAACGGCCACACUGGGGACUGAGACACGGCCCAGACUCCUACGGGAGGCAGCAGUUGGGAAUCUUCGGCAAUGAGCGCAAGCCUGACCGAGCAACGCCGCGUGAGUGAUGAAGGUUUUCGGAUUGUAAAGCUCUGUCUUCCGGGACGAUAAUGACGGUACCGGAGGAGGAAGCCACGGCUAACUACGUG